UACGUAGGCAGCGAGCGUUGUUCGGAGUUACUGGGCGUAAAGAGUGCGUAGGCGGUUUUCUAAGUUUGGUGUGAAAUCUCCCGCUUAACUGGGAGGGUGCGCCGAAGACUGGAAGGCUUGAGUAUGGGAGAGGUAAGCGGAAUUCCUGGUGUAGCGGUGAAAUGCGUAGAUAUCAGGAGGAACACCGGUGGCGAAGGCGGGUCUCUGGGCCGAUACUGACGCUGAGGAGCGAAAGCGUGGGGAGCGAACAGG
rnacentral:rRNA from 1 species